rnacentral:misc_RNA from 1 species
GAUGAAGAACGUAGCGAAAUGCGAUAAGUAAUGUGAAUUGCAGAAUUCAGUGAAUCAUCGAAUCUUUGAACGCACAUUGCGCCCCUUGGUAUUCCGAGGGGCAUGCCUGUUCGAGCGUCAUUAUAACCCCUCAAGCUCAGCUUGGUGUUGGGGCCUGCUGCACUGGCAGCCCUUAAAAUCAGUGGCGGCGCCAUCUGGCUCUAAGCGUAGUAAUUCUUCUCGCUAUGGAGUCCUGGUGGAUGCUUGCUAUCAACCCCCAAUUUUUCUAUGGUUGACCUCGGAUCAGGUAGGGAUACCCGCUGAACUUAAGCAUAUCAAUAAGCGGAGGA